AUUGAACGCUGGCGGCAGGCCUAACACAUGCAAGUCGAGCGGAGCGGCGGACGGGUGAGUAAUGCCUAGGAAUCUGCCUGGUAGUGGGGGAUAACGUCCGGAAACGGGCGCUAAUACCGCAUACUAUCAGAUGAGCCUAGGUCGGAGUAGCUAGUGGGUGGGGUAAAGGCCUACCAAGGCGACGAUCCGUAACUGGUCUGAGAGGAUGAUCAGUCACACUGGAACGGAGAAAGGGGCCAGACUCCGACGGGAGGCAGAGUUGGGGAAGAUUGGACAAUGGGGGAAAGCCUGAUCCAGCAAUGCCGCGUGGGUGAAGAGGGUCUUCGGAUGGUAAAGCACGUUAAGUUGGGAGGCGGUACCAACAGAAUAAGCACCGGCUAACUACGUGCCAGCAGCCGCGGUAAUUC
rnacentral:rRNA from 1 species